AGCGAACGCUGGCGGCAGGCCUAACACAUGCAAGUCGAACGAACUCUUCGGAGUUAGUGGCGGACGGGUGAGUAACACGUGGGAACGUGCCUUUAGGUUCGGAAUAACUCAGGGAAACUUGUGCUAAUACCGAAUGUGCCCUUCGGGGGAAAGAUUUAUCGCCUUUGGAGCGGCCCGCGUCUGAUUAGCUAGUUGGUGAGGUAAAGGCUCACCAAGGCGACGAUCAGUAGCUGGUCUGGGAGGAUGAUCAGCCACAUUGGGACUGAGACACGGCCCAAACUCCUACGGGAGGCAGCAGUGGGGAAUCUUGCGCAAUGGGCGAAAGCCUGACGCAGCCAUGCCGCGUGAAUGAUGAAGGUCUUAGGAUUGUAAAAUUCUUUCACCGGGGACGAUAAUGACGGUACCCGGAGAAGAAGCCCCGGCUAACUUCGUG
rnacentral:rRNA from 1 species